rnacentral:rRNA from 1 species
UACAGAGGUCCCAAGCGUUGUUCGGAUUCAUUGGGCGUAAAGAGCGUGUAGGCGGCCAUGUAGGUCCGGUGUGAAAACUCGAGGCUUAACCUCGAGAUGUCAUCGGAAACCAUUUGGCUAGAGUCCGGAAGAGGAGAGUGGAAUUCCUGGUGUAGCGGUGAAAUGCGCAGAUAUCAGGAAGAACACCAAUGGCGAAAGCAGCUCUCUGGGACGGUACUGACGCUGAGACGCGAAACGUGGGGAGCGAACAGG